rnacentral:rRNA from 1 species
CGCACGGGAUCGUACACCCAAGAUGAGGACACUUUGAUUAGCGAGAGUUGGAUGGAGAUAGGCCAAGAUCCCAUGAAAGGUGCCAAGCAGAAAGGAUUCGUCUUUUGGACAAGAGUUCACAAGAACUUUCACGAGCGAAGGAAGUUUGCCCCCUGCCAAUUUAUGAGCACACGCAGCAUCAACUCAAUCCAAAAGAGAUGGGGGUUCAUCCAACAUGAGUGCAACAAGUAUUGCGUCGCGCUUGAGAGCGUUCAAGCCCGUCCCGUGAGCGGCCUAGGCCUGGGUGACUUGGUAUGCCAUUUGUGUCCAUUCAUGUUGGCAUGCCAUUUAUGUUUGAUGCAUUUUGUGUCGUUUCAUGUUACAAUUCUGGCCGCAUCUUUGAUUGUGUAG